UACGUAGGGGGCAAGCGUUGUCCGGAAUCAUUGGGCGCAAAGAGCGUGUAGGCGGUUCGAUAAGUCGGCUGUGAAAGUCCAGGGCUCAACCCUGGAAAGCCGGCCGAUACUGUCGGACUAGAGUCCGGAAGAGGCAAGUGGAAUUCCGAGUGUAGAGGUGAAAUUCGUAGAUAUUCGGAGGAACACCAGUGGCGAAGGCGGCUUACUGGUCCAUUACUGACGCUGAGGUGCGAAAGCGUGGGGAGCAAACAGG
rnacentral:rRNA from 1 species